rnacentral:rRNA from 1 species
UACGGAGGGUGCGAGCGUUGUCCGGAAUCACUGGGCGUAAAGGGCGCGUAGGUGGCUCGUGAAGCGUGCGGUGAAAGUCCGAGGCUCAACCUCGGAUCGGCCGUGCGGACUCGCGGGCUCGAGCGUUGUAGAGGCGGGUGGAAUUCCGGGUGUAGCGGUGGAAUGCGUAGAGAUCCGGAAGAACACCGGUGGCGAAGGCGGUCUGCUGGGCCAAGACUGACGCUGAGGCGCGACAGCGUGGGGAGCAAACAGG